AUUGAACGCUGGCGGCAUGCCUUACACAUGCAAGUCGAACGGCAGCACGGGGCAACCUGGUGGCGAGUGGCGGACGGGUGAGUAAAGCAUCGGAACGUAUCCUGGAGUGGGGGGAUAACGUAGCGAAAGUUACGCUAAUACCGCAUAUUCUGUGAGCAGGAAAGCAGGGGAUCGCAAGACCUUGCGCUCUGGGAGCGGCCGAUGUCGGAUUAGCUAGUUGGUGGGGUAAAGGCCUACCAAGGCGACGAUCCGUAGCGGGUCUGAGAGGAUGAUCCGCCACACUGGGACUGAGACACGGCCCAGACUCCUACGGGAGGCAGCAGUGGGGAAUUUUGGACAAUGGGCGGAAGCCUGAUCCAGCCAAUGCCGCGUGAGUGAAG
rnacentral:rRNA from 1 species